rnacentral:sRNA from 1 species
GAAUUGCUCUUUGAGCGUUAAACUAUAUCCAUCUACACCUGUGAACUGUUGAUUGACUUCGGUCAAUUACUUUUACAAACAUUGUGUAAUGAACGUCAUGUUAUUAUAACAAAAAUAACUAUUCAACAACGGAUCUCUUGGCUCUCGCAUCGAUGAAGAACGCAGCGAAGUGCGAUAAGUAAUGUGAAUUGCAGAAUUCAGUGAAUCAUCGAAUCUUUGAACGCAACUUGCGCUCUCUGGUAUUCCGGAGAGCAUGCCUGUUUGAGUAUCAUGAAAUCUCAACCAUUAGGGUUUCUUAAUGGCUUGGAUUUGGGCGCUGCCACUUGCCUGGCUCGCCUUAAAAGAGUUAGCGUAUUAACUUGUCGAUCUGGCGUAAUAAGUUUCGCUGGUGUAGACUUGAGAAGUGCGCUUCUAAUCGUCUUCGGACAAUUCUUGAACUCUGGUCUCAAAUCAGGUAGGACUACCCGCUGAACUUAAGCAUAUCAAUAAGCGGAGGA